GGCCCUGUGGUGUAGUGGUAGCACGUCAGCCUCCGGUGCUGAAGAUCUAGGGUUCGAGCCCCUACAGGGUCG